CAAAUAUUAAUUCUGGCUAGUGUGUCAGGUCAGCACUGUCCCUUCAUACAAAUAUUUAUUCUGGCUAGUGUGUCAGGUCAGCACUGUCCCUUCAUACAAAUAUUUAUUCUGGCUAGUGUGUCAGGUCAGCACUGUCCCUUCAUACAAAUAUUAAUUCUGGCUAGUGUGUCAGGUCAGCACUGUCCCUUCAUACAAAUAUUUAUUCUGGCUAGUGUGUCAGGUCAGCACUGUCCCUUCAUACAAAUAUUAAUUCUGGCUAGUGUGUCAGGUCAGCACUGUCUCUUCAUACAAAUAUUUAUUCUGGCUAGUGUGUCAGGUCAGCACUGUCCCUUCAUGUACUAUAGCCCGGGCAAGGUUCC